rnacentral:rRNA from 1 species
UGGGGAAUUUUGGACAAUGGGCGAAAGCCUGAUCCAGCAAUGCCGCGUGUGUGAAGAAGGCCUUCGGGUUGUAAAGCACUUUUGUCCGGAAAGAAAUCCUUGGCUCUAAUACAGUCGGGGGAUGACGGUACCGGAAGAAUAAGCACCGGCUAACUACGUGCCAGCAGCCGCGGUAAUACGUAGGGUGCAAGCGUUAAUCGGAAUUACUGGGCGUAAGCGUGCGCAGGCGGUUUGCUAAGACCGAUGUGAAAUCCCCGGGCUCAACCUGGGAACUGCAUUGGUGACUGGCAGGCUAGAGUAUGGCAGAGGGGGUAGAAUUCCACGUGUAGCAGUGAAAUGCGUAGAGAUGUGGAGGAAUACCGAUGGCGAAGGCAGCCCCCUGGGCCAAUACUGACGCUCAUGCACGAAAGCGUGGGGA